AUUGAACGCUGGCGGCAUGCCUUACACAUGCAAGUCGAACGGCAGCGCGGGGCAACCUGGCGGCGAGUGGCGAACGGGUGAGUAAUAUAUCGGAACGUACCCUAGAGUGGGGGAUAACGUAGCGAAAGUUACGCUAAUACCGCAUACGAUCUAAGGAUGAAAGUGGGGGAUCGCAAGACCUCAUGCUUGUGGAGCGGCCGAUAUCUGAUUAGCUAGUUGGGGGGUAAAGGCCUACCAAGGCAUCGAUCAGUAGCUGGUCUGAGAGGACGACCAGCCACACUGGAACUGAGACACGGCCCAGACUCCUACGGGAGGCAGCAGUGGGGAAUUUUGGACAAUGGACGCAAGUCUGAUCCAGCCAUUCCGCGUGCAGGAUG
rnacentral:rRNA from 1 species